GUAUUUUUGGAACAUGAUAGAAUCUACACUGUUUACCAGUCGGAAACCAGAGAACCUAGAGAAACAUCAGACGGAUACAGCAAGAACAUGUAAUACACCUUACAGACGGUGAACAAAGAUGAGGACUAAACCCAGGUUCUUAGGACUAAUUGCUGUGCUGCCCUCACUCUACCAGCUGCACCAGCAUUCCAUCAAUGUGUGUCACCGCUUUACCUUAUUCAGGAUCGUGGUGGGUCAGAUUCACUGGGUGAAAGGCAGGAAACAAGAAGAGCAUGCAAACUUCACACAGAAAGGACCCGAGUUGCUCCACCUGAGAAUCAAACCCAGGACCUUCUUGCUGUGAUGCAACAGUGCUACCCACUGAGCCACCUUGCAAACAAUUUCGUAAAAAAUAAA